UUUUCAGUGACUCAGUUUGAUGAUUUUAAUUGUUUUCACCAAAAAUCAGAGACUUCACCACAAUCUGAGCUGAGUCAGAAACAUAAAAACAGUCAGACAAAUGAAUGUGAUUAUUAGUAGUAGAGUGAUUGAAAAUCUCAUAACAACAUGUUGAUCUGCCAAAAGUAUUAUUUUAGAUGCCUAUACAAACACACUGAUCCAACAGAAGCAGACAGAAAUAUCCAUCAAUGACAUUAAUGCAAAUAUUCAGCUAACAGAGAAAGCAGUUGGAUUUGGAACGGGAAAUAAGGUUGUGCUUUUUCAUCUUUCUUUCCUUAUUUUGACGUCACUUUUUCUAAAGUCUCAGAUCUUCAACAUCUGCACCAACUGAAGGUGAUUUGAACAUAUGAUCAUCUUGAUGUUGUUGUUGCUAUCAGACUUAAGUGAAGAUUUUUCAAAAUGAGAAAUGCAAACAAUCAAAGUUAUCCACCAUCACUGUCCUUAAAGAUGCGACCAAAUCAGCAUCUCUAGAAAAGAAUAAAAAAGCUAAAAUGAAGAACUAAACCGAGAGUUUUUGGUGAGACUAAUUCACAAAAAUGUACAAACCAAAACAUUUCAAGAGUUCAAUGAUCUCAAUACAUGUUUUUGAUCUGAUGGACUCAAAAUUCUGUUUAUUUCAGUUCAAUAAACUCAGCAGAGCCUCCAUGGCAUAACAACAGUCCAGCAUGUAGCAGCUGAGUGAAUGUGGUCUGGACUCUGUGGAGGAGAGUCAUGGUUUCAGAGACGCUGUAGAAGGACAGAAUACCUGCCUUGUGAUCCAGGUACACUCCUACUCUGGAGGACCGAGGACCUGAAACACGAGUGAUGACUUUGUUGUGUAAAAAUUCAUACCUGUCUUUAUAACAGUCUAACCUCCAAGAUUUGUCAUUGUUUCCAAAUAAACAAUCACGUGAGCCCCCUGCUCUGCUGAUAGUCUUGUAAGCGACUGUUACACAAACCAGGACCCCUCUCCCCUUCACUUCCCAGUAACAACGUCCAGUCAGACUCUCUCUACUCAGAACCUGAAGAAAAUCAGUGAAUCUGUCUGGAUGAUCAGGAUAAGACUGUGGUAGUCUUGUCCCUGUUGCUCUUCUGUUUCUAUCAGAUAAUAACAGCUCUCUGUUUGCUGUGUUUGGAUCCAGUGUGAUUCUUUGUGAAUAUCUUAAGAAACCAGCUCUGGUCUUGGGUUCUGGUUCUGCUGGUUCUGAGAGUGAAACACCCAUGUCAGUCACUGCCUGUGAGACCUUUGUCCACGUCUCUGUCAGAAGAUCCUGGAGUUUAUCUCUGACCUCUGACACAGCUGCUGUCACCUCCUCAAAGUAUCUCAGAGGACGGAUGUUGAUUCUGGAUGAGUCUGCAGGUUGACCCGGUCCUGACAGUGAGGGGUAGCUGUGCAGAAACUGGUUGUGGUCCUCUGUUAGUGAGAGCUUCAGCAGAUCAGCGUCUUUCCUCUUCAGCUCAGUGAUCUCCUGCUCCAUCUUCUCCUGAAGCUCCUUGACUCGACUCACUUCACGUUUCUGCUGGGAUCUGACCUGCUGCUCCACCUCAGAGCGGCGUUUCUCCAUGAGACGGAUCAGCUGGCUGAAGAUCUCCUGGCUGUGCUCCACAGCUUUAUCAGCAGAGCCGUUGAUAGCCUUCACCUCCUGUUGGAGCAGCUUCACAUCUUUCUCUCUGUUCUGGAUUCUCUGCUGGAUGUUUUCUCGACUCUCCUCCAGAUCUUUCUGCCUCUCAGUCCUUUCUGCUGCAGCUGGGACUGUGUUGUGGCCUUUGUGUUGGUCCCAACAGCAGAGGGAACAGAUAGACUGCUGGUCAGUGCGACAGAAGAUCUUCAUCACCUCAUCAUGACGAGAGCAGACGUUCUCCUGGAGCUUCUAAGAGGGCUCCACCAGCUUGUGUUUCUUAAAUGUAGGUGAUUCAUAAUGAGGCUGGAGGUGAAUCUGGCAGUAAGAAGCCAGACACUGCAGACAGGACUUGACAGCUUUCAGUUUUCUCCCACUGCAGGAAUCACAGGCCACAUCAUCAGGUCCAGCAUUAGAGGGAUCAUCAGGAGAAGCUUGAAGUCUGCUCUUCUUCAGUUCCUCCACUAAACCUGCCAACAUGGUGUUUUUCAUCAGGACAGGCCUCGGUAUGUAGGUCCGUCUGCACUGAGGACAGCUGUAGAUCUUCUUCUCAUCCUCAGUAUCCCAGUGGGACUGAAUACAGAUCAUGCAGAAGCUGUGUCCACAGGAAAGAGUCACCGGAUGCUUCAGUAGAUCCAAACAGAUGGAACAAGAGAAAGAUUCACGGUCCAGCUGAACUCCUGUCUGCGCCAUUUCAACACUCAGUGUCGACUGACU
rnacentral:lncRNA from 1 species